UUAUGUUUUGGAAAAAUGUUUAUUGGGAGAGAAAUAGAGCUUGAGUUUGUGAAAGAAGAAAGUUUCUUUUCUUUCUUUUGUUUUCUGCGAUAGAUGAGGGACGAAAGAGGAUUUGUUUUUUCUUUUAUUAUUAAUAUGCCAAGUGUCACUAUUUGAUUGGCGACUUUGAUUUUUUUUUAUAAAAAAAACUUGUUUUGAAUGCAGAUAAGUGAAUCACAAUAUCUUCCUCUCUUUCCACAUUCUUUUUCUUUUAAUUUAUUUUGAUUUUGUUUAUUUCAUAAAAAUAAAUACCUUAUUUUUAUU
rnacentral:lncRNA from 1 species